ACUACGAUGUCGACCCUUCGCCACUUGAGGCUAUAGUAUGUUUCAAGGGUUGGGCUGUUCGCCCAUUAAAGCGGUACAUGAGCUGAGUUUAGAACGCCGUGAGACAGUUU
rnacentral:ncRNA from 1 species